CAGUCGAGCGGUAGCACAGAGGAGCUUGCUCCUUGGGUGACGAGCGGCGGACGGGUGAGUAAUGUCUGGGAAACUGCCUGAUGGAGGGGGAUAACUACUGGAAACGGUAGCUAAUACCGCAUAACCUCGCAAGAGCAAAGAGGGGGACCUUAGGGCCUCUCGCCAUCAGAUGUGCCCAGAUGGGAUUAGCUAGUAGGUGAGGUAAUGGCUCACCUAGGCGACGAUCCCUAGCUGGUCUGAGAGGAUGACCAGCCACACUGGAACUGAGACACGGUCCAGACUCCUACGGGAGGCAGCAGUGGGGAAUAUUGCACAAUGGGCGCAAGCCUGAUGCAGCCAUGCCGCGUGUGUGAAGAAGGCCUUCGGGUUGUAAAGCACUUUCAGCGAGGAGGAAGGCGGUAAGGUUAAUAACCUUAUCGAUUGACGUUACUCGCAGAAGAAGCACCGGCUAACUCCGUGCCAGCAGCCGCGGUAAUACGGAGGGUGCAAGCGUUAAUCGGAAUGACUGGGCGUAAAGCGCACGCAGGCGGUCUGUUAAGUUGGAUGUGAAAUCCCCGGGCUUAACCUGGGAACUGCAUUCAAAACUGACAGGCUAGAGUCUUGUAGAGGGGGGUAGAAUUCCAGGUGUAGCGGUGAAAUGCGUAGAGAU
rnacentral:rRNA from 1 species